rnacentral:rRNA from 1 species
CCUAGGGAGGCAGCAGUGGGGAAUUUUGGACAAUGGGCGCAAGCCUGAUCCAGCCAUGCCGCGUGCGGGAAGAAGGCCUUCGGGUUGUAAACCGCUUUUGUCAGGGAAGAAAAGGUUCUGGUUAAUACCUGGGACUCAUGACGGUACCUGAAGAAUAAGCACCGGCUAACUACGUGCCAGCAGCCGCGGUAAUACGUAGGGUGCAAGCGUUAAUCGGAAUUACUGGGCGUAAAGCGUGCGCAGGCGGUUAUGCAAGACAGAGGUGAAAUCCCCGGGCUCAACCUGGGAACUGCCUUUGUGACUGCAUAGCUAGAGUGCGGCAGAGGGGGAUGGAAUUCCGCGUGUAGCAGUGAAAUGCGUAGAUAUGCGGAGGAACACCGAUGGCGAAGGCAAUCCCCUGGGCCUGCACUGACGCUCAUGCACGAAAGCGUGGGGAGCAAACAGGAUUAGAUACCCUGGUAGUCCACGCCCUAAACGAUGUCAACUGGUUGUUGGGAGGGUUUCUUCUCAGUAACGUGCUAACGCGUGAAGUUGACCGCCUGGGGAGGUAACGGUCGCGAGUUAGUAACGUUACGAAGAAGUUAGAGGCGNGAGACGNGCGACGGACGACGACGAGGGAGGAGG